rnacentral:lncRNA from 1 species
CAAUUCAAUAACUUUAACUUUUGGGCAGUUGCAUUUCAUUCUUCCAGGCUUGCUAUGUCGUGAUGAUGACAGUCAGUCUUGAAAUGCCUCCUUAUCGGUCCCAGAUUCUAAGAGGAGUAACUCUCCUGAUUGUUGCAUCACCAAUCACUUAUUCCUCCCUGGAGUUACGUCAAAGAAGCCUUGAGCCCUGGGAACUGUUUUCCCCAUAGUUUAAAGGAUGUGAGAGACAGGGUUCUACUGAGAGUUCUAUGGCAGAGACUUCCCAACCUUUGCUCCAAAUGUUGUAAGUGGCAGCGGAAGAUGUCUACUGGAGUUGUUCUAGUUCAGAGUCCUCACUGUGCAUCCCAACCUGCUCCCCAGUCUGCCUGCUGGACAGUAGAGCUUCCACUUUGCCUCACUGGCUCUCUGAAGAAUCUUUCUGCCCUCCGGAACUCGGCAUAACAAAGGGCAAGAAUGAUGGCCCAGUCACUUGGAAGCCUUCUCUUUGGGGAAGCUGGGAGGAGGAGCUCUGCGGCUAUUGAUCCAGGCAGAUGUAUUUUUCAGUGCUAGCCACAAAGUUAAAGCCACUGUUCUUACGCAGCAGAGGUGGACCCAGCUGCAUGGUUUUCUUAUUAGGAGGCCCUGCUACCCUCCCACCUGAAGGAGCUGUAACAGAGCUGCCUGCCUGCAUCCUGCACCAGCACACCCCCGCUGCUCUGUUUAGAGAAGAGCAUUUUAUGACAGAACAGACACAGAUCUGGAUCCUGGGGUCACUGCUGCAUUUCCAUUACAAAUGCACAGGCCUCAAGCUCCAGCCUCUCCACAUGCUGAGCUUCACCGAG